rnacentral:rRNA from 1 species
GCUACCUGCAGUCGAGCGCCCCGCAAGGGGAGCGGCAGACGGGUGAGUAACGCGUGGGAAUCUACCCUGAACUGCGGAAUAGCUCCGGGAAACUGGAAUUAAUACCGCAUGUGCCCUGAGGGGCAAAGAUUUAUCGGUUCAGGAUGAGCCCGCGUCCGAUUAGCUAGUUGGUGGGGUAAAGGCCUACCAAGGCGACGAUCGGUAGCUGGUCUAAGAGGAUGAUCAGCCACAUUGGGACUGAGACACGGCCCAAACUCCUACGGGAGGCAGCAGUGGGGAAUAUUGGACAAUGGGCGCAAGCCUGAUCCAGCCAUGCCGCGUGAGUGAUGAAGGCCCUAGGGUUGUAAAGCUCUUUCAGUGAGGACGAUAAUGACGGUACCCACAGAAGAAGCCCCGGCUAACUUCGUGCCAGCAGCCGCGGUAAUACGAAGGGGGCUAGCGUUGUUCGGAAUUACUGGGCGUAAAGCGCACGUAGGCGGACAUUUAAGUCAGGGGUGAAAUCCCGGGGCUCAACCCCGGAACUGCCUUUGAUACUGGGUGUCUUGAGUUCGGAAGAGGUGAGUGGAAUUGCGAGUGUAGAGGUGAAAUUCGUAGAUAUUCGCAGGAACACCAGUGGCGAAGGCGGCUCACUGGUCCGAUACUGACGCUGAGGUGCGAAAGCGUGGGGAGCAAACGGGAUUAGAUACCCUGGUAGUCCACGCCGUAAACGAUGGAAGCUAGCCGUUGGGGGAUUUAUCUCUCGGUGGCGCAGUUAACGCAUUAAGCUUCCCGCCUGGGGAGUACGGUCGCAAGAUUAAAACUCAAAGGAAUUGACGGGGGCCCGCACAAGCGGUGGAGCAUGUGGUUUAAU